rnacentral:rRNA from 1 species
AUUGAACGCUGGCGGCAUGCCUUACACAUGCAAGUCGAACGGCAGCACGGGCUUCGGCCUGGUGGCGAGUGGCGAACGGGUGAGUAAUACAUCGGAACGUGCCCUGUUGUGGGGGAUAACCAGUCGAAAGAUUGGCUAAUACCGCAUACGACCUGAGGGUGAAAGCGGGGGACCGCAAGGCCUAGCGCAGCAGGAGCGGCCGAUGUCUGAUUAGCUAGUUGGUGGGGUAAAGGCCCACCAAGGCGACGAUCAGUAGCUGGUCUGAGAGGACGAUCAGCCACACUGGGACUGAGACACGGCCCAGACUCCUACGGGAGGCAGCAGUGGGGAAUUUUGGACAAUGGGGGCAACCCUGAUCCAGCAAUGCCGCGUGUGUGAAGAAGGCCUUCGGGUUGUAAAGCACUUUUGUCCGGAAAGAAAACCUCUGCCCUAAUACGGCGGGGGGAUGACGGUACCGGAAGAAUAAGCACCGGCUAACUACGUGCCAGCCGCCGCCGUAA